GAUCCUGCCGGACCCUACUGCUAUCGGGGUGGGACUUAAACAGGCGAGUCGAACGACUUCAAGCCAUGAUGAAGUCGUGGCACACGGCUCAGUAACACGUGGCUAACCCACCCUCGGGACGGAGACAACCCCGGGAAACUGGGGCUAAUCCCCGAUAGGCGAAGACCCCUGGAAUGGGUCCUCACCCAAAAGGCGUUAUAGUCAUGCUCUGUAACCUCGCCCGAGGACGGGGCCGCGGCCGAUCAGGUAGUUGGUGAGGUAACGGCUCACCAAGCCUAUAACCGGUACGGGCCGCGGGAGCGGGAGCCCGGAGGUGGGCACUGAGACAAGGGCCCAGGCCCUACGGGGCGCAGCCGUUGCGAAAACUCCGCAAUGCACGAAAGUGUGACGGGGCUACCCCGAGUGCCGUCCGCUGAGGAUGGCUUUUCUCUGCUGUAAGGAGGCGGAGGAAUAAGGAGAGGGCAAGUCUGGUGUCAGCCGCCGCGGUAAUACCAGCUCUCCGAGUGGUAGGGAUGAUUAUUGGGCUUAAAGCGUCCGUAGCCGGCCUUUCAAGUCUCUCGUUAAAUCCAGCGAUUCAAUCGUUGGACUGUGGGAGAUACUGUUUGGCUAGGGGGCGGGAGAAGCCGACGGUAUUCUCAGGGUAGGGGUAAAAUCCUAUAAUCCUGGGAAGACCACCAGUGGCGUAGGCGGUCGGCUAGCACGCGCUCGACGGUGAGGGACGAAAGCUGGGGGAGCGAACCGGAUUAGAUACCCGGGUAGUCCCAGCUGUAAACGAUGCGGGCUAGGUGUUGGAGCGGCUACGAGCCGCUUCAGUGCCGCAGGGAAGCCAUUAAGCCCGCCGCCUGGGGAGUACGGCCGCAAGGCUGAAACUUAAAGGAAUUGGCGGGGGAGCACCACAAGGGGUGAAGCUUGCGGUUUAAUUGGAUUCAACGCCGGG
rnacentral:rRNA from 1 species